AAGAAUAAUGAACCUGGCAUCUAAAGAUAUGAAUUUUUUUCUCAGCAGUACUACAUAUUAGCUCUACAGAAGAAUUAAAAUGUACAUGACAGGACACUAGGAAAAACAUUCUUGGCAGAUAUUAAGAAGACUCCCAAUCUCUGAAGAGUGAAAAAUGGUAGAUAAUCUUACCACUUGUCUUGUUCAGAAUCAAGGAAUUCCUUCCCAAUUCUCAGAUGAAGCAGUUCUUCUAUCGAUGUGGUGAAUGUGAACCUCUGCCAAAUAAUCCCAUUUAGAGGCACGCCUCAAUGCAAGGAGAAGCAGAUGCUGAAACAUGCAGCAAAAGCCAAGCUCUGUCACCUCUUCAUGACUUUAUACAUCGUCAGUCCCCCUAUUGCUUUCCCUAAAUUUCCUAAUAGUGAAGAAGAUGCAUCAUUGAUAUCAUCGUACAGGCAUGGACAUAGAAAAGGCAGAAGGACUGUCUAAGAUAGCAUGGAGCAUUUCUGUCAACUUAUUUUGAGUUAUUUAUUCUUCUUUCCCUCAUUCUUAGAAUUAAAGAGAUAACCAGAAUCAAGAAUACAAUUAAUGCUUACAAAAUUUGAUGAAUGAGGCAAUAUUAUCCCCAUCAUCUCCACAAAGAAAAUUCCUCCUUUAAAUUAUUGACUUAGAUUUAGAUAGAAUAUUCAUAUUGAAGAAAUUAAAACUUUCUAAAGGUAUUUCUAGCACAAAAGGAGGAAAACUGAGUCACUGGAAUGUUCAUUAUAUUCAUGUCCAUUCAAAAUUAAUAUUCCUUCAAAGCUGAGCUUAAGUUCCUACAACUAAAUGG